GGUUUUAACCCAGUUAACCAAGGUUAGCAUGGAUUUCGACCUUUCGAAACGAGAGUGUUGAAUAAUACUGUAAUUUUUGGACACGCUUCUUCGGGGUUAUCCGUUGAGGCAAC
rnacentral:sRNA from 1 species